rnacentral:rRNA from 1 species
UACGUAGGUGGCAAGCGUUGUCCGGAUUUAUUGGGUUUGAAGGGUGCGUAGGUGGCUAACUAAGUCAGUGGUGAAAUAUCUCAGCUUAACUGAGAGGGUGCCAUUGAUACUGGAUAGCUUGAGUACAGAUGAGGUAGGCGGAAUUGACGGUGUAGCGGUGAAAUGCAUAGAUAUCGUCAAGAACACCGAUAGCGAAGGCAGCUUACCAAGCUGUAACUGACACUGAGGCACGAAAGUGUGGGGAUCAAACAGG